GCCCAGUGAGGGUACUCUAAGACAGAAGGUGAGAUAGAAAGGCUUUGAAAUCAGACGAAUGUAUUUUCAAAGUUUGUUUCUACUGCCUCAUUGCAGUAUACGCUUGGUGGGUUAUCUGGACCUUAAUUUAGAAGCAGUAAAAGGAAGCUACAUCAUCUGGGGUUGAACUCCAGGUUUAUUAUGCUAAUAGUGAAAUGGCUAAGGGAGCAAGCUCUGGAGUCAACUCACCAGAAUUUUUCAGAGGAAGAAACGCAAAAUACAUUGAGCAUGUAAUUGCAAGAAGUAUUCAUUCACACAAUGCAAGACAUUGGUGUCACUGGAUGAUAAGGGUUCAUAGAAAGGAGGAUAUUUCAGUAAAGUUUCAUUUAAACUCAGACUUACAGACUAAGGAUGGGAUUUUGACAGUCAAAAAUGGAGGCCUGGAAGAGGAUUCAAGGAGGAGAGAAUGGCCGGAUCAUGGUGAAGAGUUUGGAAAUCAGAGUGUGCUUUACAAAAGAUAAGCUAUUCAAUUUUGCUGGGAUAAAUUCAGUCUCUUCAAAGGGGUAAGAUAAUGGUAGCAAAGUUGUCGUAUAAAUAGAUUGCUUUGAUCUAAAAUAUUCAAGAAAGAUAAAUCUAUGUUGGAUUGCAGGUUAUUAACUUGGAUUCUAGCUUGGAAGGAGAAAAAAAAGAAGGAAAAAAAUUUCCUUUGGAAAGAGAGAGAGUAGCUCAAAAAAUUGGGGGUAGAGUUGAACUGGGUCAGGAAGUGGGACAGCUCCUGGAUUCUGAGGGGUGGGCACUAAUUAAUGUCAGCUUUUCAGCGCUGCUGCUGAUGCUGCACCCUUGGCUACUUUCUGCUCCUGGAUCCCCCCACACUCAGGUUCUGAGGAUAUGGUCUGACUGGAUAAAUUCUACAUGGGUUACAUUUUGAAAUUUCCAUUUGGUUAAUCAGGGGAAGGAGAAGAGGGGUCACACUAGCAUCAUGGGGCGGACUAAAGAGGGGACAUCUAUGGAGGUCCGCUGAUGAACAUGCAGAGUGGACUAAUGAUGGCUAUUUUGGCACCUGAUCAAUAACCAUUCUGAAAUGGAUCUAUUUUAAGCAAGAUUAUCAGGGCUGUCAAAAUCUGAUGGUGAAAAAUGACAGCAUGGGGAAAUGUUCAGGGUACUUUCCACUGCUCAGGAAAUAAUACGGUGAGUGGUUUUAAAAUUCCAAAUCCCCAGGCCUCCAACUACUGCAAUUUAUUUUAAAAUAUUUUUUCAGGCUAACCCCUCUUCAAAUCCUGAGUCUUUGCUAUUUUCCUCUCCAUUUUACAUAGAUAAAGAAGCUCAUUAACUGAUUAUCUCAGGCUCUGAAAUCCCUUAGCGAUUGCUUCAGGAGUCUACAUUUAUUUCCAGAGUCUCCUAACUAUUUCCAAAGUACCAUGUGAAUUGAUUGCUCCUUACGUUUUGAUUAUUUCAUACUCUCGGGUUCUCUAAGAUCAUGGAGCAGCUCAUGCCUGAUUGUUUUCACUUCCUGGUGAGACAGGCUUGCUACUCGCUUGAUACACUACCAACAGAAUGGAGGCUGUUGGACGCAUCAUUAAUUUUUGUUUGUUAGUUCUGUUUCUCUAAUGUGUCAUUCUGGACCUGAGGUUUCCCAGCAACCUCUUCUUCCUUCUUCCGGAAUGCACCUUGUCCCACAAAAGGACAAUUACUUCUUCCAGGAAGACUACCCUGAUAACACAAUCUAAGGAAGCAAUUCUCUCCCUCCAGCCUUGAUAAUCUCUCUCGAUGCCUUAUUCCUUUUUUUUUAAAAAAAGAGAUUUUAUUUAUCUGAGAAAUAAAG